rnacentral:rRNA from 1 species
GCAUCGAUGAAGAACGCAGCGAAACGCGAUAGGUAAUGUGAAUUGCAGAAUUCCGUGAAUCAUCGAAUCUUUGAACGCACCUUGCGCUCCAUGGCAUUCCGUGGAGCAUGCCUGUUUGAGUGCCGCGAAAUCUCCCACCCCUAGCGGUUGCCGCAAGGCGCCGCCGGGCGGCGGGGUUGGUUGGGUGCCGCUGCCUGGGCUUUGGCCCAGGCUCGCCCGAAAUGCAUGAGCGCUUAGCACUCGCACCGUCUCGAGGGAAGGCGGCGGAGCUGGCAUCUGCGCAUGGCAUGAUACGUCAUUUGCUGUGUGGCAGCCCAGCGACCCGAGAGUGUGUGUGCGCUACUACACGCCCUUUCAUUUCUGGUCUCAAAUCAGGUAGGAUCACCCGCUGAACUUAAGCAUAUCAAUAAGCGGAGG